AACGAACGCUGGCGGCAUGCCUAACACAUGCAAGUCGAACGAGACCUUCGGGUCUACUCGCGCACGGGUGCGUAACGGGUGGGAACAUGCCCUUAAGUUUGGCAUAACUCGCCGAAUGGGGUGCUAAUACCGGAUCUAGUAUUCCAUCCGAAGUUUUGUCGCCUUUGGGUGGGCCGGAGUUGUCUUGCCUUGUUGGUAGGGUAAAAGCCUCCCACGGGUACGAUGGAUAGCUGGUCAGAGAGGAGGAUCCGCCACACUGGGGCUGGGACACGGCCGAGAAUCCUGCGGGAGGGAGCAGUGGGGGAUACUGGAAUAUGGGGGAAAGGCUGAUCCAGCUAUGCCGCGUGAGUGAUGAAGGUCUUAGGGUUGUAAAGUUCUUUUACCCGGGACGAUAAUGACAGUACCGGGAGAAUAAGCUCCGGCUAACUCCGUG
rnacentral:rRNA from 1 species